rnacentral:rRNA from 1 species
AGCCCGCUCGCCGGAAGACCAAGGGUUCCUGUCCAACGUUAAUCGGGGCAGGGUGAGUCGACCCCUAAGGCGAGGCCGAAAGGCGUAGUCGAUGGGAAACAGGUUAAUAUUCCUGUACUUGGUGUUACUGCGAAGGGGGGACGGAGAAGGCUAUGUUGGCCGGGCGACGGUUGUCCCGGUUUAAGCGUGUAGGCUGGUUUUCCAGGCAAAUCCGGAAAACCAAGGCUGAGGCGUGAUGACGAGGCACUACGGUGCUGAAGCGACAAAUGCCCUGCUUCCAGGAAAAGCCUCUAAGCAUCAGGUAACAUCAAAUCGUACCCCAAACCGACACAGGUGGUCAGGUAGAGAAUACCAAGGCGCUUGAGAGAACUCGGGUGAAGGAACUAGGCAAAAUGGUGCCGUAACUUCGGGAGAAGGCACGCUGAUAUGUAGGUGAAGCGACUUGCUCGUGGAGCUGAAAUCAGUCGAAGAUACCAGCUGGCUGCAACUGUUUAUUAAAAACACAGCACUGUGCAAACACGAAAGUGGACGUAUACGGUGUGACGCCUGCCCGGUGCCGGAAGGUUAAUUGAUGGGGUUAGCGGCAACGCGAAGCUCUUGAUCGAAGCCCCGGUAAACGGCGGCCGUAACUAUAACGGUCCUAAGGUAGCGAAAUUCCUUGUCGGGUAAGUUCCGACCUGCACGAAUGGCGUAAUGAUGGCCAGGCUGUCUCCACCCGAGACUCAGUGAAAUUGAACUCGCUGUGAAGAUGCAGUGUACCCGCGGCAAGACGGAAAGACCCCGUGAACCUUUACUAUAGCUUGACACUGAACAUUGAGCCUUGAUGUGUAGGAUAGGUGGGAGGCUUUGAAGUGUGGACGCCAGUCUGCAUGGAGCCGACCUUGAAAUACCACCCUUUAAUGUUUGAUGUUCUAACGUUGGCCCGUAAUCCGGGUUGCGGACAGUGUCUGGUGGGUAGUUUGACUGGGGCGGUCUCCUCCUAAAGAGUAACGGAGGAGCACGAAGGUUGGCUAAUCCUGGUCGGACAUCAGGAGGUUAGUGCAAUGGCAUAAGCCAGCUUGACUGCGAGCGUGACGGCGCGAGCAGGUGCGAAAGCAGGUCAUAGUGAUCCGGUGGUUCUGAAUGGAAGGGCCAUCGCUCAACGGAUAAAAGGUACUCCGGGGAUAACAGGCUGAUACCGCCCAAGAGUUCAUAUCGACGGCGGUGUUUGGCACCUCGAUGUCGGCUCAUCACAUCCUGGGGCUGAAGUAGGUCCCAAGGGUAUGGCUGUUCGCCAUUUAAAGUGGUACGCGAGCUGGGUUUAGAACGUCGUGAGACAGUUCGGUCCCUAUCUGCCGUGGGCGCUGGAGAACUGAGGGGGGCUGCUCCUAGUACGAGAGGACCGGAGUGGACGCAUCACUGGUGUUCGGGUUGUCAUGCCAAUGGCACUGCCCGGUAGCUAAAUGCGGAAGAGAUAAGUGCUGAAAGCAUCUAAGCACGAAACUUGCCCCGAGAUGAGUUCUCCCUGACUCCUUGAGAGUCCUGAAGGAACGUUGAAGACGACGACGUUGAUAGGCCGGGUGUGUAAGCGCAGCGAUGCGUUGAGCUAACCGGUACUAAUGAACCGUGAGGCUUAACCUU